UACGAAGGGGGCUAGCGUUGCUCGGAAUUACUGGGCGUAAAGCGCACGUAGGCGGUCUUUUAAGUCGGGGGUGAAAUCCUGGAGCUCAACUCCAGAACUGCCUUCGAUACUGGAAGACUUGAGUCCGGGAGAGGUGAGUGGAACUGCGAGUAUAGAGGUGAAAUUCGUAGAUAUUCGCAAGAACACCAGUGGCGAAGGCGGCUCACUGGCCCGGUACUGACGCUGAGGUGCGAAAGCGUGGGGAGCAAACAGG
rnacentral:rRNA from 1 species